rnacentral:rRNA from 1 species
GAAUGCUAAAAGAAUGGAAAUUUAAGAAAAAACUUUUUUAAAAAUAAAAAUUGAAUUUUUUUUAAUUUGUGCAAAAACAAUUAUAUUUAUUAAAGACAAGAAGACCCUAAGAAUUUAAGAUUUUACAAUUAAAAAGUUUUUUUUUAAAAUCUUGAUUGGGGCGAUCAAAAAAUAUUAAUAACUUUUUAAAAUUUAAAUUGAUCUAUUAUUAAUAAACUAAUGAAUUAAAUACUCUAGGGAUAACAGCGUAAUAAUUUUUGAUAGAUCUUAUUGACAAAAUAGUUUGCGACCUCGAUGUUGGAUUAGGAUUCUUUUUUAAUGAAGAAGUUAAAAAAAGAAGUUUGUUCAACUUUUAAAUUCCUACUUGAUCUGAGUUCAGACCG